UAUUGUAUGUAUAGUCUUUCGGCUUUCCUCGUUAGCGAGCGCGUCGUACGUAAAUUUUGUUAAUGUGUGCGUCUGUGUUGUGUAUAAUUUGAAUGUGUGUGUAUGUCGAGUGAACGUUGUGGUGCGAUAGUAUAGUAGCUAUUUCGAUUUUCGUGUAUGCGGCGUCGGUGUAGGCUUUUAGAUUCAGCGUUUCCCCGUCUUUGUAUACCAUUUACGUUACCGAUAUUCAUUACGAAAGGUAUUUUAAUUAUUUAGUACGUUUUGUGUUGCUCCGGUGAAACAUUAAUCCUUUCGUUUACGUUUUACAACCGUGUGCCGGACGUUUUUAUUUUCGCUCUGCGGUCUAUACAAACACGGGAUUUUUAUUUAGUUCGUCUUUAUUUUUUUCAAACCGUUUGGCGACAUCAAUUGUUUGUUUGCAUACAUUUUUACUCAAGAAAUACGCGUGUGUGACUAUUUCUCGCGCGUGUUGAAUAUCCGCCACCACGACGGACCAAGAAAUCGACAUGGAAAAGAGAAUUGAGCUGGAGAAACGGGGCCGAGCUCCCGAUGAGGUAGAACAACUUAUCUUAGAUGAUUGCCGGAGUACCACAAUAGUUGGUCUCACAAAUGAGUAUGUUAACCUGAAGAGUCUCAGCUUAAUUAGUGUUGGAUUGACAAGCUUGAAAGGUUUUCCAAAAUUACCAAAACUUCAAUAUCUGGAUCUCAGUGAAAAUCGAAUUUCUAACAGCUUACAAAAUCUAAGCGGUUGUGAAAAACUUAAAUCAUUAAAUCUCAGUCAAAAUAAAAUAAAAGAUUUUGAAUCUAUUGAACCACUUGGAGUAUUAAAGCAGCUUAAGUUUUUGGAUUUAUCUAAUAAUGAAGUGGCAAAGGUUCAAGGAUACAAAGAAUUUGUAAAAGAAAAAUUGACUGGAGUACUUAAGUACCUUGAUGGGGAAAAAGUUGCUAAUGGAGUAAGUGAACCUGGCUCGGAUAGUGAUGAAUCUGCUGAUUCAGAAUCUGAAGCUGAAGAAGAAGAAGGUGAUGAAGAAGAGAGUGAAUAUGAAUCUGAAAAUGGUGAACAAGAAACUGGAGGUGUGGGCUUGGAAGAAAUGCUUAAAGACAAUAUUGAUGAAGAGAGCGAAGGCAAUGAUUAUGUAUUAGACGAAGAAGAUGAAGAAGAAGAAGGAUUAGAUACUGAUAAUACUGAUGAUAGUGACAACGGUGAUGAUGAGGCAGACGAUAGCCCUGAAAAUGAAUCGCAAGACACAAGAGGGAAAAAAAGAAAACUUGAUUCAGAUUAAAUAAUUGAGGGAACAUUUUUAUAAUUACUAUUAUGUUAAGUGGAACAAAUUUAUGAACUUUAAAAUAAGCUUCAACAGUAAUAACAUAGUAGUUGUACAGGGUAAAAGAAAAAAAUAAUUGAGUAUUAAAAAUGUAAUAUGUACAGUAUGUCUGGAAAGUGGUAUAACUUUGGGAUGAUAUGUUUUUAAGUAGCCUUAAUAAUGAUUUUAAAUAUUCUAGAAUCUCCUAAUGAUGAGUAUAAAUUGUGUUAUUUUGUGUUGGUCAAUAAUAAUAUGGAUGUUUGCAAAAUUUAUUGUAAUUUGUACUCCAGAUAAUUAUAAUGUAUACAUAAUUUGGUGUUUACUUUAAAUUCAUGAUCAAGUAUUUUACUAAAAUUAAACGUUUCAAAUUUUUAUCUUACCUUAAUUAUAUCAUAUUUGUAGUUAUGUAGGUGAAACUUCAUGUAUUUUAUAUUUUAUAACUUAAUAAAUAAGUAAUGAGUACAUCACAAAAAACCUUAUAUUCAUUUGAAUAAUAACCACUUAAAAUGUACUCGUUUAAAAAUUGUUUGAAAGUUUUAUUUAUUAAUUUUUUUACCAAGUUUGAUCUGUAACAAAAUUUGGGAUAACAGUGAAUAUUUAAUAUUAUUUGCCGUUUAGGAAAUCAACCGAUAUGUACUAAUUUUUUGCUCUCUUUUCUUAAGCCUCCAUUUUAACAUUAAAAUAUUUUCUUGUAUGAAGAAUAAUUAAAAUUGUAAGUAUUUUCAAAGCUUAUACUUUUAUUGUAAUUUUUGUGUUUUGAGUUAAAUUAUAAUUUUUAUGUCCAUAAUUUUUUAAUGACAAGCAUAUUCUCAAUGACCCUAUCAAAAUAUAUAAAUUUCUUGAAAAAAAAAACAAUAUAUACAUUAAAUAACAUUAAAAAGCUCAAAAAUAAAAUUUAUAUUUUGAUAAUGUAUCCUUUGAAUGUAUUAUGAAAAUUAAAUCUGAGCCCCUAGAAUCACACAAGUCAUUUAAGCAAUCUAUUGUUUAAAUGGAACUGUCACUAUAUUACAACACUAAAUAGGUUUUUGUAUUACUAUGUACAAUAUCUUUUAAUGAUUUGAAGAUGGUAUAUUGUUAUACGUUACGUGCAAGUGUAUUUCUACAUGUAAGCUAUAAACUAUAUUUUUUUAUACAAAUGAAUAUUAAGUAAUUUUUAGUUAUAUUUUAAAUUUAUAAAAACCAAAUAUUUCAAAUUUUUAGAACAUAAAUUUAUAUUUUCAUUUGAAAAAUUAAUUAUUGUUAUUGGCAAAUUAUUACCCAACUAAUGUCAAUUUUAUAAAUUAAGUUGUCUAAAGUCAACAAUCUUUCUAUCUGCAAAUCAUUCUGGGUAAAUGUAAAUGACACAAGCCUUCUGUUAUUUAAAAUAUUUUGAUUUACUAUUAAUAUUCCUUAAUUUUAUAUUAUACUUUUUCUGAGGAGUUUUAUUGUUUUUGUUGUAAAUGAUUUAGUUUAAUUUUAGAUUAAACAUUUAAAAAAUAUAUUUUAGAAUAAAUAUUAUGUUUAUUGUAAUAUUACUUUUAAUAUAUUAUAUUUCUUCACAGUGUUAAUAAUGCUUCUAUUUGUACACCAUUUUUUUAUGUAAACAUUUAUUUAUAUC